rnacentral:rRNA from 1 species
CCUACGGGUGGCAGCAGUGAGGAAUAUUGGUCAAUGGACGAGAGUCUGAACCAGCCAAGUAGCGUGAAGGAUGACUGCCCUAUGGGUUGUAAACUUCUUUUAUAUGGGAAUAAAAUGUUCCACGUGUGGGAUUUUGUAUGUACCAUAUGAAUAAGGAUCGGCUCACUCCGUGCCAGCAGCCGCGGUAAUACGGAGGAUCCGAGCGUUAUCCGGAUUUAUUGGGUUUAAAGGGAGCGUAGGUGGAUUGUUAAGUCAGUUGUGAAAGUUUGCGGCUCAACCGUAAAAUUGCAGUUGAAACUGGCAGUCUUGAGUACAGUAGAGGUGGGCGGAAUUCGUGGUGUAGCGGUGAAAUGCUUAGAUAUCACGAAGAACUCCGAUUGCGAAGGCAGUUCACUGGACUGCAACUGACACUGAGGCUCGAAAGUGUGGGUAUCAAACAGGAUUAGAUACCCGUGUAGUC